rnacentral:lncRNA from 1 species
AUGGCCACCUGUUUUCACCGCUCGAGCAGAGCCCCACAGCCCAGGCCCACAACAACCCCCCGGAAAAGAGAAAUCCUUUUUAAAUUCAUUAUUUAUAAUACAAUAGAUGUAAUGGAUAGGGUUAGAAUAUAUAGGUUUCAAACGAUCAGGGGUAGAAUGAGUAGGUUUAGAUGUAGUGUGGUUAACUUGGUUAAGUUUAGGUGUAGUAUAGUUAGCUUUGUUAUUAGGUGUAGUGAAGUUAACUUGGUUAAGUUUAGGUGUAGCAAAGUUAACUUGGUUAAGUUUAGGUGUAGUAUAGUUAACUUGGUUAAGUUUAGGUGUAGUAUAGUUAGCUUCGUUAGGUUUAGGUGUAGUAUAGUUAACUUGGUUAAGUUUAGGUGUAGUAUAGUUAACUUGGUUAAGUUUAGGUGUAGUAUAGUUAACUUGGUUAAGUUUAGGUGUAGUAUAGUUAGCUUCGUUAGGUUUAGAUGUAGUGUAAAAGAGAAAAUAUAGAAAGAAGAGGAAAUAUAAAAAAUAUAUAAUAUAUAUAUAAAGAGAGAGCAAUUCAGAUUUAGUCAGGCCUUGCCUCUCUCAGACCUCAUUGAGGCCCCUUGGGUAUAAUGUACCCAAUUUUUUGAUCCAACUUCUCUCUGCCUUGAGUCUAUCUUUUAGAUCCCAGAGAGAGUUGGCUUGGAGCACCGUGGCUCUGAGAGAGGGAAGGCCGUGGGACAUGAAGUGUCUUACAAUGAAUCUACGUUUUUCUAUUUUGUUUAUAAUGUUAUGAGUAUGCUGAUAAAUUCUCUUUCUAAGUUCAUUCUUCGUCUGUCCCACGUAUUGUCUCUUGCACUUAUUGCAAAAGAUCAUAUAUACACAGUUGGCCAAGUGCACAUAAUAUUUACACGAUCCUGCUUUGGGAUUCAUAUUGGUAUUAAGACUUUGUAUUUUGCUUUGUACUAAAAUAUCCAAUAGAUUUUUAUUUCUUUUAUAGGCCGCAAUUGGUUUGUGAUUCUGUAAAUGAGAAGUCUCUUUCAAAAACUCAGUAAAAUUUUGUUUAGUAGCCCAAUUUAGUUGUGUGCUUUGAGAUGAGUAAAAGGUGACCAAAGGUAUAAUUUUCUCUUCCGUAUUUUGAGCUGGCAGUGCAGGUUUCUCGAUGUAAUCUUUGAAUUCUCUUAAGACAUUUCUC